rnacentral:tRNA from 91 species
GGGGGUAUGGCGGAAUUGGUAGACGCUACGGACUU